rnacentral:rRNA from 1 species
GAGUUUGAUCCUGGCUCAGAGCGAACGCUAGCGGCGGGCUUAACACAUGCAAGUCGAGCGCCUUACUUCGGUAAGGAGCGGCGAACGGGUGAGUAACACGUAGGUUACCUACCCCUGGGUGAGGGAUAACCAAGGGAAACUUUGGCUAAUACCACAUAUGGCCUACGGGUCAAAGCCUUCGGGCGCCUGGGGAUGGGCCUGCGGCCCAUUAUUUAAUCCUAGAUGGUGGGGUAACGGCCCACCAUGGGUACGAUGGGUAGCUGGUCUGAGAGGAUGAUCAGCCACACUGGGACUGAGACACGGCCCAGACUCCUACGGGAGGCAGCAGUGGGGAAUAUUGCGCAAUGGGCGAAAGCCUGACGCAGCCACGCCGCGUGUGUGACGAAGGCCUUCGGGUCGUAAAGCACUGUCGGGAGGAAAGAAGUUCUGACGGUACCUCCCAAGAAAGCACCGGCUAACUCCGUGCCAGCAGCCGCGGUAAUACGGAGGGUGCAAGCGUUGCUCGGAAUCAC